rnacentral:rRNA from 1 species
AACGAACGCUGGCGGCAGGCUUGACACAUGCAAGCCGAGCGAAGACUUCGGUCUUAGCGGCGGACGGGUGAGUAACGCGUGGGAACGUGCCUUUUGCUACGGAAUAGCCCCGGGAAACUGGGAGUAAUACCGUAUACGGCCCUUUGGGGAAAGAUUUAUCGGCAAGAGAUCGGCCCGACGUUGGAUUAGGUAGUUGGUAGGGGGUAAUGGCCUACCAAGCCGACGAUCCAUAGCUGGUUUGAGAGGAUGAUC